UAUUAUUUUUGAUGAACUAGAGGGUUUCUAACAUAAUUGGUGUCAGUGUUAGAGAGUCUGAAACUGUGGAUUUUUCUUUUUUAUAGAAUUUCAAAUGUACCAUUCAUGGAAAAAAAGGAUUUUUUUUUUUAAACUUGGCCAACCAAAAUAUAGGCUCUCUGAACAAUACAAAUUCUCUGAUAAAUAGAUUUUAAUAAGAUGGAUACGUAAUCUGAGAACACAGCCCUACAGAGCUUGAUCCGUGCUGGCACGGUGUACUAAGAAGGAAUCAGUACUCACAAAAACUUCCAGAGGAGUGGCUGCCUUUUAUACAUUUUCUCCCAGUCCUCAGAAUACUGAAGUAUUUCAUAAGGGACAAAGCAAGGAUUGAGGUAGUACUUGGAAUAGAGUCAUCUAACUGUUAUGUCACAGAACAGCAAAGCGGUCCAGGUUUGUCACCUAGCCACCAAGUACAUGACCAAGCCCUGAGGCUGCCAGUAAGAGAAAAGGACUACUUGAUUUUAAAAGCAAGAACUAUGAAGCAAAGGUGAAGGAAGGAAAAUCCAUGAUAAUUCAUCACACAUAGCAAGACAUCAGCAUCGGGACAUAAGAAUGAUGCCAGUCAUUGUGAUUCCAAACAGAGAGCGAAGAAGUCCUCUACAAGCCCCAUGGGUUUACAGAACCCUAUCAAUCUCUCUCUCCAUCUUCCGGAUUAUUAUUCAAGUUACUGUCCCCAAUUUUGCUGGGUAUAUAAGAUCUAGCCCAGCUCCGUAGAUCAUUUUUCUUCCUGGUGGAUUAGGAAUUUGUUCUCUUUAAAUUAUCUCUGAGCUAAUAUGCUGCUCAACAAAGUAGUAGGAAUGUCAACAUCAUCUGUGUUUGUUUUGUGUAUGUGUUUAUAUACCUACCUCUCCACCCUUGUACUGUGAUUGCCAUACAAGAACUUAAAGCUAUGCCUGGAACUAGUAUCAAAA